rnacentral:rRNA from 1 species
AAGCCGAGCGGUAGAGAUUCUUCGGAAUCUUGAGAGCGGCGCACGGGUGCGGAACACGUGUGCAACCUGCCUUUAUCUGGGGGAUAGCCUUUCGAAAGGAAGAUUAAUACCCCAUAAUAUUUUGGAUGGCAUCAUUUAAAAUUGAAAACUCCGGUGGAUAGAGAUGGGCACGCGCAAGAUUAGAUAGUUGGUAGGGUAACGGCCUACCAAGUCAAUGAUCUUUAGGGGGCCUGAGAGGGUGAUCCCCCACACUGGUACUGAGACACGGACCAGACUCCUACGGGAGGCAGCAGUGAGGGAUAUUGGACAAUGGGUGAGAGCCUGAUCCAGCCAUCCCGCGUGAAGGACGACGGCCCUAUGGGUUGUAAACUUCUUUUGUACAGGGAUAAACCUUUCCACGUGUGGAAAGCUGAAGGUACUGUACGAAUAAGCACCGGCUAACUCCGUGCCAGCAGCCGCGGUAAUACGGAGGGUGUAAGCGUUAUCCGGAUUUAUUGGGUUUAAAGGGUCCGUAGGCGGAUCCGUAAGUCAGUGGUGAAAUCUCAUAGCUUAACUAUGAAACUGCCAUUGAUACUGCGGGUCUUGAGUAAGGUAGAAGUAGCUGGAAUAAGUAGUGUAGCGGUGAAAUGCAUAGAUAUUACUUAGAACACCAAUUGCGAAGGCAGGUUACUAUGUCUUAACUGACGCUGAUGGACGAAAGCGUGGGGAGCGAACAGGAUUAGAUACCCUGGUAGUCCACGCCGUAAACGAUGCUAACUCGUUUUUGGGCUUUCGGGUUCAGAGACUAAGCGAAAGUGAU